rnacentral:rRNA from 1 species
GUGCCAGCCGCCGCGGUAAUACCGGUGGCUCGAGUGGUGGCCGCUAUUAUGGGUCUAAAGGGUCCGUACCGGCUGAUAAGUACCUGGGAAAUCCGGUGGCCUAACCAUCGGGCGGCCAGGUAAUACUAUCAGGCUCGGGACUAGGAGAGACCAGAGGUACUCAUGAGGUAGGAGUGAAAUCCUGUAAUCUUAUGAGGACCACCAGUGGUGAAGACGUCUGGUUAGAAUAGGUCCGACGGUGAGGGACGAAGGCUGGGGGCGCAAACCGGAUUAGAUACCCGGGUAGUCCCAGCAGUAAACGAUGCCAGCUAUGUGUUGCUGGAACCAUGGGUUCCAGCAGUGCCGAAGGGAAGCCGUGAAGCUGGCCACCUGGGAAGUACGGUCGCAAGGCUGAAACUUAAAGGAAUUGGCGGGGGAGUACCACAACCGGUGGAGCCUGCGGUUUAAUUGGAUACAACGCCGGGAAUCUUACCGGAAGGGACAGCAGUAUGAAGGCCAGGCUAA